rnacentral:ncRNA from 2 species
AUACAUGACGGCGAUGGAGUUCGCCUUUAAACGCCUUGCCCGCAAGGCUGAUGACUCCUACUCUUGA